AAUCAACGCUGGCGGCGUGCCUAACACAUGCAAGUCGAACGCGAAAGGGGGCUUCGGCUCCUAAGUAGAGUGGCGUCCGGGUGAGUAACACGUAGGUAAUCUGCCUUCGGGUGGGAAUAACCAGUCGAAAGAUUGGCUAAUACCGCAUAAUGCAGCGGCACCUAAUGGUGAUUAGUUGUUAAAAGCGGGGGAUCGUAAGACCUCGCGCCUGAAGAGGAGCCUGCGGCAGAUUAGCUAGUUGGUGAGGUAAUGGCUCACCAAGGCUUCGAUCUGUAGCUGGUCUGAGAGGACGGCCA
rnacentral:rRNA from 1 species